rnacentral:misc_RNA from 1 species
GUGAAGAACGUAGCGAAAUGCGAUACGUAGUGUGAAUUGCAGAAUUCAGUGAAUCAUCGAGUCUUUGAACGCACAUUGCACCUCUCGGUAUUCCGGGAGGUAUGCCUGUUCGAGCGUCAUUUGUACCCUCAAGCUCUGCUUGGUGUUGGGUGUUUGUUCCGCCUCUGUGUGUGAACUCGCCUCAAAACAAUUGGCAGCCGGCGUACUUGUUUCGGAGCGCAGCACAUUUUGCGAUCCAGAUCAACGUACAGCGGCAUCCAAGAAGCCUUAUUUAACGCUCUUGACCUCGGAUCAGGUAGGGAUACCCGCUGAACUUAAGCAUAUCAAUAAGCGGAGGA